rnacentral:lncRNA from 1 species
CAUCAACGUCCGAGGCAUCCAACAAUAGUAGACUCAUCAGCAACCUCGAAAAUAUCCGAGCUUCUCCUAGAUCGAUGGGAUGGAAAGCUAUUUCGCUCCAUCAGACAUCCCAACUGAGCUCCGACCGAUAGAUUCGAACUCUCUGGCAAGUCACGACAAUGGCCACUACCCUACUCCACUCUCUGCAAUAGAUUUUGCGUGGCUCCACCACUCUCUAGC